rnacentral:rRNA from 1 species
UACGUAGGGGGCUAGCGUUAUCCGGAAUUACUGGGCGUAAAGGGUGCGUAGGUGGUUUCUUAAGUCAGAAGUGAAAGGCUACGGCUCAACCGUAGUAAGCUUUUGAAACUAAGAGACUUGAGUGCAGGAGAGGAGAGUAGAAUUCCUAGUGUAGCGGUGAAAUGCGUAGAUAUUAGGAGGAAUACCAGUUGCGAAGGCGGCUCUCUGGACUGUAACUGACACUGAGGCACGAAAGCGUGGGGAGCAAACAGG